GAUGAAUAAACGCCUGCAGCUAGGUGGUGUGCAUGGGUCAAGUCUCAAGACCCAUAUAUGUCCAACUGUGUAGGUCUGCAUAUAUGAUUGAUCUAUGGUGCACACCAAGUUAUUCCACAAAAACGUGGCCAAGGAUGAAUCUACGACAUAUGGUGACAGGCAUGGCCUUCUUUGUCUUCGUGGAGCUAGCAGAAAUCUGUUUCUGAUCAAUGAAAGACAAUGCAAACAUUUACUGUAAGUUUUUAUGAGUGUAGAUGCUAUUUUUUACUACGAUUUUAAGACCAAUGGCCGAUCUAAUCUUAUUAGUACUGGUAGUUUCACCCAUGGUGCUUUUGCCUUCUAUAUGUGUCGAAUUAAGAAAAUAGAAAUUUUCAGGAGAUGAUGUGAGUUUGCAAACAACUACUCACGGUAUUAGUAAAUCAUUGCAUUCUAUUAGUAAUGCUUCUCUUAGUACAUAACAAAAUUAUUUUGGGGAGUGACAUAAUGUGUCUCUCUCUUUCUGUUGAUAUUAAUGGGUGAGUUUUAGUAAAAUCUUCAGGUUUGCAUGGUGAGAUGCAUUGUCUUCAGAAAAG